AGCGUAGGCGGAUUUUUAAGUGGGAUGUGAAAUACCCGGGCUUAACCUAGGUGCUGCAUUCCAAACUGGAAGUCUAGAGUGCAGGAGAGGAAAGUGGAAUUCCUAGUGUAGCGGUGAAAUGCGUAGAGAUUAGGAAGAACACCAGUGGCGAAGGCGACUUUCUGGACUGUAACUGACGCUGAGGCUCGAAAGCGUGGGGAGCGAACA
rnacentral:rRNA from 1 species